rnacentral:rRNA from 1 species
GUGUCAGCAGCCGCGGUAAUACGUAUGGGGCAAGCGUUGUUCGGAGUUAUUGGGCGUAAAGGGCGUGUAGGCGGCUCAUCAAGUCUGGUGUGAAAUUGCAGGGCUCAACCCUGCAGGUGCGCUGGAAACUGGUGGGCUAGAGUUCUUGAGGGGAAGCUGGAAUUCCAGGUGUAGGGGUGAAAUCUGUAGAUAUCUGGAAGAACACCGGUGGCGAAGGCGAGCUUCUAUCAAAGGACUGACGCUGAGGCGCGAAAGCGUGGGGAGCAAACAGGAUUAGAUACCCUGGUAGUCCACGCUGUAAACGAUGUGCACUAGGCGUGGGGCACGUACGUGCUCUGUGCCGUAGCUAACGCGAUAAGUGCACCGCCUGGGGAGUAUGCUCGCAAGGGUGAAACUUAAAGGAAUUGACGGGG